AUUGAACGCUGGCGACAUGCCUUACACAUGCCAGUCGAACGGCAGCACGGGUGCUUGCACCUGGUGGCGAGUGGCGAACGGGUGAGUAAUACAUCGGAACACGUCCUGUAGUGGGGGAUAGCCCGGCGAAAGCCGGAUUAAUACCGCCUACGAUCCACGGAUGAAAGCGGGGGACCUUCGGGCCUCGCGCUAUAGGGUUGGCCGAUGGCUGAUUAGCGAGUUGGUGGGGUAAAGGCCUACCAAGGCGACGAUCAGUAGCUGGUCUGAGAGGACGACCAGUCACACUGGGACUGAGACACGGCCCAGACUCCUACGGGAGGCAGCAGUGGGGAAUUUUGGACAAUGGGCGAAAGCCUGAUCCAGCAAUGCCGCGUGUGUGAAGAAGGCCUUCGGGUUGUAAAGCACUUUUGUCCGGAAAGAAAUCCUUGGCCCUAAUACGGUCGGGGGAUGACGGUACCGGAAGAAUAAGCACCGGCUAACUACGUG
rnacentral:rRNA from 1 species